rnacentral:lncRNA from 1 species
UUAUAAUCUUCCAAUAUGGUACAAACUUCACUUUGAAAGAUACAUCGACGUAAAAUUCCAUCUCGCCCUUGCUUAUACAAAGCGUUGUUGUAAUACGUGAAGUCUUCCUAGAGAAUGCUCCGGGCUUCUGGCUGUGGAAGGUAGAAUGGAAAUUACAACAACAAAAUCCUAAUUCUAAUAAAAUACUAACAAUGCUAAAAAAGCUUUAAUCAAAUUUCGAAAAACUUCAAAGAAAUUCCAAAGAAAUAAUAAGAAAUCUUAAAGAAAUAUUAGAAUGAUUACAAACAUAUCUCAAAUAUAUGUCAAUUCAAUCUUAAUUUAAUCCUAGUUGAAAUCUUACUUCAUUCAAACUUUAGGCCAAAAACUAACUAAAUCUUAAAUCCUAAACAAACUCAAAUAAAAUCCUAAAUCCUAAAUCAAAUCUUGAUCAAAUCCUAACCAAACUUUAAACCCUAAACCAAAUCCUAAAUCCUAAACCAAAUCCUAAACACUAAAUCAAACCCUAAUCGAAUCCUAAAUCCUAAACCAAAUCUUAAUCCUGAAUCAAAUCCUAAUCAAAUCCUAAAUCCUAAACCAAAUUCUAAUCCUAAAUCAAAUCCUAACCAAAUCCUAAAUCCUAACCCUAAAUCAAAUCCUAACAAAAUUCUAACCCUAAUCCUAAACCUUAAACCAAAUCCUAACCUUAAAUCAAACCCUAACCAAACCCUAAUCCUAAAUCAAAUCCUAAUCAAAUCCUAAAUCCUAGUUCAAAUCCUAAUCCUAAAUCAAAUCUUAACCAAAUCCUAACCCUAAUCCUAAAUCCUAAACAAAUUCUAACCCUAAAUCAAAUCCUAAUCAAACCCUAGUAAUUUCUACAAUAGAAUUAAACCUCAAUAAUUAAUGAAUGAAUUGUUGAUCUUAACUCAAAAUUUUGCACAAUUUUUAAUAAUUAAAUUAAAAACAAGCACAAAAUUUUUGAAAAAGGAUCGAAAUUACCAAAUAGACGA